rnacentral:rRNA from 1 species
GAUGAACGCUAGCGGCAGGCUUAAUACAUGCAAGUCGAGGGGCAGCACGAAUAGCAAUAUUUGGUGGCGACCGGCAAACGGGUGCGGAACACGUACGCAACCUUCCCAGAACAGGUGAAUAGCCCUGCGAAAGUAGGAUUAAUACACCGUAAGAUAUAUAGGUGGCAUCAUUUGUAUAUUAAAGGUCGCAAGAUCGGUUUUGGAUGGGCGUGCGCCUGAUUAGGAGUUGGUGAGGUAACGGCUCACCAAGCCUUCGAUCAGUAACUGGUGUGAGAGCACGACCAGUCACACGGGCACUGAGACACGGGCCCGACUCCUACGGGAGGCAGCAGUAAGAUAUUGUCAAUGACGAAAGUCUGAACCAGCCAUGCCGCGUGAAGGAUGACUGCCCUCUGGGUUGUAAACUUCUUUUAUCUGGGACGAAAAAGGGUCUUUUAGCUCACUUGACGGUACCAGAGGAAUAAGCACCGGC